AUUGAACGCUGGCGGCGUGCCUUACACAUGCAAGUCGAACGGUAACAGGGAGCUUGCUCCGCUGACGAGUGGCGAACGGGUGAGUAAUGUAUCGGAACGGACCUUUUAGUGGGGGAUAACGUAGCGAAAGUUACGCUAAUACCGCAUAUUCUCUGAGGAGGAAAGCAGGGGACCUUCGGGCCUUGCGCUAAUAGAGCGGCUGAUAUCAGAUUAGCUAGUUGGUGAGGUAAAGGCUCACCAAGGCGACGACCUGGAGCGGGUCUGAGAGGGUGAACCGCCACACUGGAACUGAGACACGGUCCAGACUCCUACGGGAGGCAGCAGUGGGGAAUUUUGGACAAUGGGGGCAACCCGGAUCCAGCAAUGCCGCGUGAGUGAAGAAGGCCUUCGGGUUGUAAAGCUCUUUCGGCCGGGAAAAAAUCGCAUGGGUUAAUACCCUGUGUGGAUGAUGGUACCGGAAUAGGAAGCACCGGCUAACUACGUGCCAGCCGCCGCAGUAA
rnacentral:rRNA from 1 species